rnacentral:rRNA from 1 species
CACGGUCACUCCUACGGGAGGCAGCAGUGGGGAAUAUUGCACAAUGGGGGAAACCCUGAUGCAGCCAUGCCGCGUGUGUGAAGAAGGCCUUCGGGUUGUAAAGCACUUUCAGUAGGGAGGAAGGUAGUGUAGUUAACACCUGCAUUAUUUGACGUUACCUACAGAAGAAGCACCGGCUAACUCCGUGCCAGCAGCCGCGGUAAUACGGAGGGUGCGAGCGUUAAUCGGAAUUACUGGGCGUAAAGCGCAUGCAGGCGGCCUGUUAAGUCAGAUGUGAAAGCCCGGGGCUUAACCUCGGAAUUGCAUUUGAAACUGGCAGGCUAGAGUCUUGUAGAGGGGGUAGAAUUUCAGGUGUAGCGGUGAAAUGCGUAGAGAUCUGAAGGAAUACCAGUGGCGAAGGCGGCCCCCUGGACAAAGACUGACGCUCAGAUGCGAAAGCGUGGGGAGCAAACAGGAUUAGAUACCCUGGUAG